rnacentral:lncRNA from 1 species
GACUUGCAAGGAGUUUAGGAGACUAAAUAAAGUAGAGAGGAAAGGAUUCUAGUGGAAAAGCCAAGAUUUUGGAGCAGUGAAGCGUCAAUUUGGAGAAGAGAGAUGGAAUCUAGGGCAAGCUCAAACCGCCCAAAUGAGGAAGAAAGAGGAGAGAAAGUUGGUUCCUAAAUGGAUGAUUUGAAGGGUGAAAAUCGGUGGGAAGAGAGAUUUGAGAGAAAUCUUUAGUUUGAGGGA